rnacentral:rRNA from 1 species
UACGGAGGGUGCGAGCGUUAAUCGGAAUUACUGGGCGUAAAGGGCGCGUAGGCGGCCGAUUAAGUCAGAUGUGAAAGCCCACGGCUUAACCGUGUGAAGUGCAUCUGAAACUGGUCGGCUUGAGUAUCGGAGAGGAAAGUGGAAUUCCCGGUGUAGAGGUGAAAUGCGUAGAUAUUGGGAGGAACACCAGUGGCGAAGGCGGCUUUCUGGCAUACAACUGACGCUGAGGCGCGAAAGCGCGGGGAGCAAACGGGAUUAGAAA